rnacentral:rRNA from 1 species
AUUGAACGCUGGCGGCAGGCUUAACACAUGCAAGUCGAACGGUAACAGGGCGCUAGGUGCUGACUUGUGGGGCGGAGGGGUGUGUAACGCCGAAGCAUGCGCCGGGUAGGGGGGGAACAAGUCGGGAAAGGGGCUCAAACACCGCACGAGCUAUGAGUGAAAACGGGGGGGAGUUUGGGAUCUCGCGCUUUCAGCUGCGGCUAGGUCGGAUUAGGUAGUUGGUGGGGUAAAGGCCUACCAAGCCGACGAUCCGUAACUGGUCUGAGAGGAUGAACAGUCACACUGGGACUGAGACACGGUCCAGACUCCUACGGGAGGCAGCAGUGGGGAAUUUUGGACAAUGGGCGAAAGCCUGAUCCAGCCAUGCCGCGUGUAGGAAGAAGGUCUUCGGGUUGUAAAGUGCUUUUGUAUGGGACGAAAGGGAGUUAGUUAAUACCCGGCGGUUUUGACGGUACCGUAAGAAUAAGCACCGGCUAACUACGUG